GACGAACGCUGGCGGCGUGCUUAACACAUGCAAGUCGAACGGAAAGGCCCUGCUUUUGUGGGGUGCUCGAGUGGCGCACGGGUGAGUAACACGUGAGUAACCUGCCCUUGACUUUGGGAUAACUUCAGGAAACUGUGGCUCAUACCGGAUAGGAGCUCCUGCUGCCUGGUGGGGGUUGGAAAGUUUCGGCGGUUGGGGAUGGACUCGCGGCUUAUCAGCUUGUUGGUGGGGUAGUGGCUUACCAAGGCUUUGACGGGUAGCAGGCCUGGGAGGGUGACCGGCCACAUGGGGACUGAGAGACGGCGCAGAAGCCUACGGGAGGCAGCAGUGGGGAAUAUUGCACAGUGGGCGGAAGCCUGAUGCAGCAACGCCGCGUGCGGGAUGACGGCCUUCGGGGUGUAAACAGAUGUCGCAUGUGACGAAGAGGGAGUGACGGUAAUGGGUAAAGAAGCACCGGCUAACUACGUG
rnacentral:rRNA from 1 species